rnacentral:rRNA from 1 species
AUUGAACGCUGGCGGCAGGCCUAACACAUGCAAGUCGAACGAGUGGCGGACGGGUGAGUAAUGUCUGGGAAACUGCCCGAUGGAGGGGGAUAACUACUGGAAACGGUGGCUAAUACCGCAUACUAUCGGAUGUGCCCAGAUGGGAUUAGCUAGUAGGUGGGGUAAAGGCUCACCUAGGCGACGAUCUCUAGCUGGUCUGAGAGGAUGACCAGCCACACUGGGACUGAGACACGGCCCAGACUCCUACGGGAGGCAGCAGUGGGGAAUAUUGCACAAUGGGCGCAAGCCUGAUACAGCCAUGCCGCGUGUAUGAAGAAGGCCUUAGGGUUGUAAAGUACUUUCAGCGGGGAGGCGUUACCCGCAGAAGAAGCACCGGCUAACUCCGUGCCAGCAGCCGCGGUAAUAC